UACGUAGGGUGCAAGCGUUGCCCGGAUUUAUUGGGCGUAAAGGGCGCGUAGGCGGCCCGGUAAGUCCGCUGUGAAAGUCGGGGGCUCAACCCUCGAAUGCCGGUGGAUACUGUCGGGCUAGAGUGCGGAAGAGGCGAGUGGAAUUCCUGGUGUAGCGGUGAAAUGCGCAGAUAUCAGGAGGAACACCGAUUGCGAAGGCAGCUCGCUGGGACGUAACUGACGCUGAGACGCGAAAGCGUGGGGAGCAAACAGG
rnacentral:rRNA from 1 species